UACGUAGGGGGCUAGCGUUGUCCGGAUUUAUUGGGCGUAAAGAGCGUGUAGGCGGCCAGGUAGGUCCGUUGUGAAAACUGGAGGCUUAACCUCCAGCUGUCGAUGGAAACCAUCUGGCUAGAGUCCGGAAGAGGAGAGUGGAAUUCCUGGUGUAGCGGUGAAAUGCGCAGAUAUCAGGAAGAACACCCGUGGCGAAGGCGGCUCUCUGGGACGGUACUGACGCUGAGACGCGAAAGCGUGGGGAGCGAACAGG
rnacentral:rRNA from 1 species